rnacentral:rRNA from 1 species
UCGGGAAUUUUGGGCAAUGGGGGGAAACCCUGACCCAGCAACGCCGCGUGAAGGAUGAAGUAUUUCGGUAUGUAAACUUCGUAAGAAUAGGAAGAAUAAAUGACGGUACUAUUUGUAAGGUCCGGCUAACUACGUGCCAGCAGCCGCGGUAAUACGUAGGGACCAAGCGUUGUUCGGAUUUACUGGGCGUAAAGGGCGCGUAGGCGGCAAUUCAAGUCAUCUGUGAAAUCUCCGGGCUUAACUCGGAACGGUCAGAUGAUACUGCUUUGCCAGAGUGCAGAAGGGGCAAUCGGAAUUCUUGGUGUAGCGGUGAAAUGCGUAGAUAUCAAGAGGAACACCUGAGGUGAAGACGGGUUGCUGGGCUGACACUGACGCUGAGGCGCGAAAGCCAGGGGAGCAAACGGGAUUAGAU